rnacentral:rRNA from 1 species
CCUACGGGGAGCAGCAGUGGGGAAUAUUGCGCAAUGGGCGAAAGCCUGACGCAGCGACGCCGCGUGAGGGAUGAAGGUCUUCGGAUCGUAAACCUCUGUCAGCAGGGAAGAACGGUCACGGGGCUAAUCAGCAGUGAAUGGACGGUACCGGCAAAGGAAGCACCGGCUAACGCCGUGCCAGCAGCCGCGGUAAUACGGAGGGUGCGAGCGUUAAUCGGAAUUACGGGGCGUAAAGCGCGCGUAGGCGGUAUGUCAAGUCAAGGGUGAAAUCCCCGCGCUCAACGUGGGAACUGCCUUUGAAACUGGCACCCUGGAGUGUGUGAGCGGCUAGUGGAAUUCCAGGUGUCG